GCGUACCGAACAUAAGUAGGGAAGUCCAGGCCCCUGGCUGUCAAGAAAAGCCGCUAUUGUUUUAUAUGUGCCCGUACCGCAAACCGACACAGGUGGAUGAGGAGAGAAUCCUAAGGCCGACGGGAGAAGUAUUGUUAAGGAACUCGGCAAAAUGACUCCGUAACUUCGGGAGAAGGAGUGCCAUGAGAGUGGCCGCAGAGAAAUGGCCCAAGCAACUGUUUAGCAAAAACACAGGUCUAUGCAAAACCGCAAGGUGAAGUAUAUGGGCUGACGCCUGCCCGGUGCUGGAAGGUUAAGGGGAGAGGUUAGCGCAAGCGAAGCUUUGAACUUAAGCCCCAGUAAACGGCGGCCGUAACUAUAACGGUCCUAAGGUAGCGAAAUUCCUUGUCGGGUAAGUUCCGACCCGCACGAAAGGCGUAAUGAUUUGGGCACUGUCUCAACGAUACACCCGGUGAAAUUGAAAUACCAGUGAAGAUGCUGGUUACCUGCGCCAGGACGGAAAGACCCCAUGGAGCUUUACUCCAGUUUGAUACUGGGAUUCGGCAUGGUAUGUACAGGAUAGGUGGGAGACUGAGAAGGUAUGACGUCAGUUGUACCGGAGUCGCUGUUGGGAUACCACCCUUACCAUGUUGGAUUUCUAACCUGUGGCCGUGAACCGGUCAGGGGACAAUGUCAGGCGGGGAGUUUGACUGGGGCGGUCGCCUCCGAAAGGGUAUCGGAGGCGCUCAAAGGUUCCCUCAGAAUGGUUGGAAACCAUUCGAAGAGUGCAAAGGCAGAAGGGAGCUUGACUGUGACACCGACGGGUGGAGCAGGUACGAAAGUAGGACUUAGUGAUCCGGUGGUAUAAAGUGGGAUUGCCAUCGCUCAACGGAUAAAAGCUACCCUGGGGAUAACAGGCUUAUCACUCCCAAGAGUUCACAUCGACGGAGUGGUUUGGCACCUCGAUGUCGGCUCAUCGCAUCCUGGAGCUGUAGCAGGUUCCAAGGGUUGGGCUGUUCGCCCAUUAAAGCGGUACGCGAGCUGGGUUCAGAACGUCGUGAGACAGUUCGGUCCCUAUCCGGCGCAGGCGGAGGAAAUUUGAUAGGAGCUGUCCUUAGUACGAGAGGACCGGGAUGGACGGACCGCUGGUGUAUCUGUUGUACUGCCAAGUGCAU
rnacentral:rRNA from 1 species